AUACGGAGGGUGCAAGCGUUAUUCGGAAUCACUGGGCGUAAAGGACGCGUAGGCGGGUUGGCAAGUCAGAUGUGAAAUCCUACAGCUUAACUGUAGAACUGCAUUUGAAACUGCUAACCUAGAGUAUGGGAGGGGGAGAUGGAAUUAGUGGUGUAGGGGUAAAAUCCGUAGAAAUCACUAGGAAUACCGAAAGCGAAGGCGAUCUCCUGGAACAUAACUGACGCUAAGGCGUGAAAGCGUGGGGAGCAAACAGGAUUAGAUACCCUUGUAGUCC
rnacentral:rRNA from 1 species